GUAGGGAAUCUUCCACAAUGGGCGAAAGCCUGAUGGAGCAAUGCCGCGUGAGUGAAGAAGGUCUUCGGAUCGUAAAGCUCUGUUAUCGGAGAAGAACACGGAGUGCAGUAACUGGCAUUCCGCUGACGGUAUCCGACCAGAAAGUCACGGCUAACUACGUGCCAGCAGCCGCGGUAAUACGUAGGUGACAAGCGUUGUCCGGAUUUAUUGGGCGUAAAGCGAGCGCAGGCGGUCUUUUAAGUCUGAUGUGAAAGCCCACGGCUCAACCGUGGAUGGUCAUUGGAAACUGGAAGACUUGAAUGCAGAAGAGGAAAGUGGAAUUCCAUGUGUAGCGGUGAAAUGCGUAGAUAUUCAUGGGAACGCCAACGGCGAAGGCAGCUGACUGGGCCUGUUCUGACGCUCAGGUACGAAAGCGUGGGGAGCAAACAGGAUUAGAUACCCUAGUAGUCC
rnacentral:rRNA from 1 species